AGCCACCUUCGGGUGGUGGAAAGUGGCAGACGGGUGAGUAACGCGUGGGAACGUGCCUUUCGGUUCGGGAUAACCCAGGGAAACUUGGGCUAAUACCGGAUACGCCCUUCGGGGGAAAGAUUCAUUGCCGAAAGAUCGGCCCGCGUCGGAUUAGCUAGUUGGUGGGGUAAAAGCCUACCAAGGCGACGAUCCGUAGCUGGUCUGAGAGGAUGAUCAGCCUCACUGGGACUGAGACACGGCCCAGACUCCUACGGGAGGCAGCAGUGGGGAAUAUUGGACAAUGGGCGCAAGCCUGAUCCAGCCAUGCCGCGUGGGUGAUGAAGGCCCUAGGG
rnacentral:rRNA from 1 species